UGCCUUCAUGAAUGUUGAAGCAUUAUUCCAUGUACACACUGAUGUAUCAUCAGGGGUGGAAAUGAAGAACUUGUGGACAAAUGACUGAGUUGCAAGACAAAUGGGACACCAAUAAUGGCACUUCUAUCAACAUCAGUUUUUAGAAUGUGAGCAUUUUUUAAAAAUUAAAUUAUUCUUAUUGUUUUUAAGACUAUAUCAGGUUCCUAUUCUUUACUAUUUCUUUAUUAUGUGAACAGGAGACCUGAAAAGUUUUCUAGCUGUUAUUUAAAAACAGUUAUAUCUAGUUUUUUUGGACUCAAAAAGUAUCUGGAAACUUCAGUCUAUAGCAUUUUUCUUUUUCCUACAGUCUUCAAAAUAAGAGAAUCUUAAGGGAUUUUUAUCAUGUUUUCCAUUCACGUGUUUUUAUUGGAAGGGCAGAGAUACUGAAUCCUAACAAUGAUGGACUGUCUCCAUGUGGUUUGUUAUGUUUAAGUAAGGAAGCGUAGCAAAAAUCAAAUUCUGAUGUGUAUGAACAGCUGAGUGAGGUUUUUUGGACUGUCUUCGAGAAAGUAAUUGAGAAUUCAGCAUUAACGUUGACACGACAGCCUUCCAUGAUAAACAAGAGUUUAAUGUCAACUUUAAUGGAGAAGCAAAAAGUGUCGUUUGUCAAACACUUGUCAAAUCAUCUUGAAAUACUCUACGGAUGAAAAAAAAAGCCACAUACCCAGCUAUGGUCCUUCCUUUCUUGCCAGAACACCUGGAAUGUGAAUGGGAAUUACUUUUAUAAUAGAAGAACAUGCCAAGGGAUAAGUCUUUCCCAAUUAAUUACCUUCUUUCACAGUAAUGCUUUCAUGAGAAAUAAUCUGAUGAAAUUAUUUUGGUCAGGAGUCCAUUUUUAAUUAAAUACCCUAAGGACAGCUCUGCAAGAUAAAACAUUUGGCUCACUUGCUUUUAAUGGUCGUCAGUAAGCUCUGAAUGAUUCAUGCAGUCGAAGAAGCUGAAGCUGUGCAUACAUACAUCCUAACUCAUCGCAGCCUGAAUCUGAAACACCUACACCUGCUCGUCCUGCCCCUAAGCUCCCCUGUUGGCUCUUGGUGUUCGGCGCUUUCAGAUGGAGCACAGAUGGGUGAAGUGCAAUUAGUCUUACUUUGCCUUGUUGGAACUCCCUUGAACUUGAUCUUUUCAGUACUUCUGCAGCCAAAGAAGUCUUCUGUGCCCCAGACAUAAUGAGAGUUCAAGCAUGCUCUCAGAAGUGCUUGCUCUGGCCAUUAGCAGUUGACCUAAUAACGGGGAGGCCAACUAACGAUUGAGGUUGCUGACGUCUCAGAGAGAAAGGGGGCCUGAAAAUGUGUGUAUACAUACAUAUUACAUAGACACAGAUGUAAUUCCUCUUAUAUGUAUUUAUGUAUGAAGGUUACUCACACAGACUGAAUGCACACUUGAGAUUUAAGACACACGGAGCACACUGAGCUCUCUAGAAAUGAGUGUCUGGGGAUUUUUAUAAGAUAUUCUUCCCGUUACUGCCACGAGGCCUCUGAAGGCAAGAACAGAAAUGUAUGAAAUCAUGCUGUGGUAUUUUACAUUUUGAUUUCACUUCAGAUUUUUGGCCACAUCAGAAACGUAAAUUUGCCGAGUGCUCCUUGCCUUAAAACAAAACUCUAAUGAGAGUACGCUCAUUACAGAUGGAGGUGUCUGAGCCCAUUAGUUGUACAGGGAGGAGAGCAUCUAUAAACAGUCCUUAGAGCAUUUGAAAGCUUUUGGAUGAUUAUGGCUCUGGCUGACAGGCUCACACAGAGGUGUAAUCUACCACAUUCAGACAAACAGCUUCCAACACACAGCCAACUUGGCAGCCUCGCUGGCUUGGCCCCUCGAUGGGCUCCACCUUACAGAGUUAUACAUGAAUUUUAAGGAGCUGUGCAGCUGAAAGGGAGGUUUACAUGAUGUGUGGCUAACUUAGCUUGCUGGCUGCGUGCACUGAUACUAAAGAUGGAGGUAGCCGUAUUGCUGGUGGUGCAAUGAAUUUCCUUCAGUUUGGGGCUGACACAAGGGCUUAGCAUCAGCAAAUAAGGGACAAGUUAGGAAAAUGUGCUUCAUCUAGAAGCAGUGUUACAGCACUUAUUUUGUUUCAAAUUUAAUCUCGUAACAUCAUGCUCCAAAGCGUUUCAAAAGAGAAAACAAAUAGUACAUGUGUCUUACCUCACACUGUCGACCUCUGAAGCUUACAGGCGCUGAUGAAAUGAUUCUCAUAGUGCAUAGGAGUAAAGUAAGUCUUGAGUUUCUUUGGGGAAAGUAAAGGGACCAACAGCAUAAUGAGCUCCCCCAGGUCACAUAGCACAUUUACGUUCCACUUAGAAAUACAGAGCAGACCUUUCCACCAGCUGCAAAUCCUCUCUGCCUGAAAGCUCCCUGAAAAAGAAUAAUAUCUGGAUUAGGAGCCCAGAAAUUCUGUAUUGUGCAGAAGCGCUGCGUGCAGGGCAGUAGAGGACAAACUGUGAUGCUAAUAAGCAAUCAGCGAAUCUCCAUCUCUCCUGAUCUUUGAUCUAUUAAAACAAUUGAUACGAAGUUUCUGAUUAAACGGAGUAUUCCAGCAAGGUCCUUAUUAAUCAAGCCAUUUGUCUUUUCCUAAGCUGGAACAAACGCCCUGAUCAUCCGCAGUUAGCGGGCUUUCAUUUCAACCAACGCGCAAGCCUUAACUCAGGCUUCAAAUGAAAAAAGCCAUCUUAAAACCCUCACGAGGAGCUAGUUCCGUUAUUCGGGUAUGACACUGCUUUACAGGUAACACAUAUCUGGAGCGAUCGGGACGUGCCCUACGCGUUCUUACAGCCAGCCGUGUGCUGGAAGCAGUCAGCGCCAGCAGGACGGCCAUCAGCGCGGCUGUGCCGGGCUGAGCACACAGCCAUGUUGCUAAUGACCGAUUGUCACAGCAGUCAGCGCUCUGCUGGUGCUGCUAAUUUUCCCCCUGCUUCUUUCAUGGGACUCUGGUUGUCUGUUAGGCGUAAUACUGUCGUGCUAAAGUGUGCUUAACAGAGUGUAAUUGCCACUUAAUGCAUUUUUUUUUUCCUCUCCAUAAUUUUUACAACGUGUAUAGCAGUAGAAUAUAGAGCAUAGGCUUAGAAAAUAUGUUUGUGUCCAACUUAGGAAUGAAUUGAGCCUAGAGGUCUUGGUGCCGACCUGUUUCAGGUUUCCUCUGAAAGGGAGAGGCAGUGCCUUGUCCCAUCAGCCCCAUCAUCACUCGCUGUGGGACACAACAGCACUCAUAGGGCGGGGCUCUUCCCUGCAGGACCUCUGCCCUAAAAAUGGGUCUUUUCCUUUUCUCACCAUAGGGAUCUGUUGAGGCUGACCAAGGAAGGCUUAUGAAAGCAGUGUCUGUGAAGGUCAAAGAUGUGGCUGGAUGAUUUUCAAGCAUUUUGAAAUGAGAGCAGGUGUUGGAGGGUUGGGAUGGGGCAGAGCUGAGCACAUGGAAUGCAGAGCUGCAGUUCCACAGACAUGUGUGGGCUAUUGCUGCCUGCUGCUCUCACUCUCUAUUUAGCUGCCUCUGCCACCUGUGUGGAUGUGGCAUGCCACAGUGCUCCAGUGCUCCAGGCUCAGGCACUCACUGAAAGAAGGAUUCUGGUAAACACAACUGUAUUUUCUUGUGAUAUUUUGGAAAGUUGGGAUGGAUGCAGCCCCAGAUUAUCUGCAUGGGAGUGUCUGCAUGUGUUUCCACACUGUGCGACUGCAAGAUCAUAUCAGCCGUGCUAAAAGGUGCCACUUUCAUCCUCCUAACAAAUCCAUUCUUGUUAAGGGCCCUGCAGCCAUCCUCCAUGCAAGUCUUGGCCGCGUGCCCUUGCAGCAGGGGCUGCUGUGGUAGGGCAGGAGGGGAGACGUGCAGCCGCCCCAGCCUCCAUCCCCCCGUUCUGCAGAGAGGAGCUCGCUUCAGCAGUCCUGGGCAGGUACUGGAGCAUCCCUCCUGCCUGUGGGGACCGCCAAGCAUCCUCACAGCACACGGAGCACCAGGACAGCCAAGCUAAGUGGGUUAAGGGGGCGAAUCAGAUGGCUCGUUAAAUAAUUAACCUCCUCCUAAGAAAGUGCCUUUUAAUGAGGGAAGGAAGGAAGGUUUUGUCUUUUUACAGGGAUUUAGCAUCCCCUAUUUGUGCCACCGGGUAGGUUAGCAGAGGGAAACUUUUUAGUGCCUUCUGCCAUCCAGCUGCUUUCUGGAGAAGCAAACUGUUGGUAAUACUGCGACACGAUCAUCAGUGCUAAUGGGUAGACGUGAUAGGCCAUCAUUAUGCUAGGCACAGGGCUAUUAUUAUGCACUGUAUAUAACCCCAGCUAAAAGGGGUCUCCAUCCCAAAGGAUCUGAAGUCCCAGGCUCCAGCCCUGCAAUUUGCAGGACACGAGUGCUCUUCCUGAUGUGUGUGCCAUGCCAGCGCAGUCAGUCACAGGGGAGCAGUCACUCACAGCACUGUGGCCUUCCUGGUGCUGACCAGAAAUUGCCUGGGAGGACCCAGUGCUCGUGUGUGGGAUUUAGCUAAUAUGUUUGAUCUUCUCCUGGAACCGAGGCAGCUUUUGCUUGAGGAAUGGCAAGCAAAUCCCUGAAUGGGGACAAUCCCAAUAACUCACUGUGAAAACUGUCGCGGUGAAUCUCUGUUGGUCCCAGAGGGUCUCCUGGGCAUUCUGUGCCCUUCCCAUAGGUUGGAGGCAGUUAUGUGCAGCCAGCAGCAGCUCUCCAACCACAGAAAAGGAACAAUUCACCUCAGGUGCUGUUGUUGCUGCCCUCCAACUGGAUGGACGGAAGCCCCUAACUCAGCAAUCCUACUGCCGGUACAAACAUUGUCAUUUGCAAAUAAUUACCAUAACUUGGUCAUGCCAUCUUGGUCACCAUGGUCACCAUGGGAGAAGUGUCUAGGAAAAGUCAUGUAUUUUGUUCAUUUGCAGCACGGUGUGCAAAUGGAGGCACGUGAAUUUGCAUUCUUUUAUGCUAACAUAACAGGUACGUGGCACAGGAUAGGGAAUUUCACAGUGCCACUUUGGCCAUGACUCCCUGGAUUGUCACCAUGGUUUGAUAGCAGUCAAACAAAGGCUCACUUGGAGAGGAUGAGAGGAGUCCCAGUGAGGGGCUAAAGCCCUGGUGCAGCAGCAGUGUGUUUAUGGCCCAGCAGCCCUUUCCCUCGCUUUCCUGCCUGCAAAACGAUCGCACAGCCAAGUCCCAUAUGCACCAUAAGCAUUUUAUUAUGUAUUUUGGGAUACAGAGCACAUGUUGAAGAAACUCAUCCGCUUUCCCAGCUGCACAGUCAAACUGUGGGAGAUCGGAACCAACGCUAUUUAUUGUCAUUGCUGCAGUGAAGAUAGCCCCCGGGGGCCUCCAUGUCCUGAACUCAAAAGUUCACUCUGCCUUCUUUUCUCAGACAUCUAAAUAAGUGUGCUUGGAUGGCCUUCCUUUCUUCUUCCCUCAAAAACACUUGACUGGAGUAAUUGGCAUUUCCAGUCUAUCUAGGAGCUGGUGAAUUCAUCAGUCCAAAACCAAAAGGAAAAUUAGUGGUGUGGGUUUUCCAAUUAGUUCUGUUCAUAGCAUAAGACAUAAGAAGAAAUGGAAGUGUGAGGAGGGAAUAAAGUCUUCAUUUGUGAUAGAUUUUUCUUCUGUGUAUCAUGUAUUGCGAGGGGGGGGGGGUAUUGCUGCUGUAAAGUGGGGUGAGAUGUAGCAAUACAUCUCUUUGCUGCAUUUCUUUUAGCAUUGGGUAUCAUAAGACUCCUUCAGAAACGAAUAGCUGCCAGCUAACCUAAACUGGGGCUGUGCUUUGAGGAAAGCAAUUCCCCAGCAAGUGUGGGUGAGGCCUGCUGGGGAUGGCAGCUCUUCCUCCCUGUCCAUCUGCCAGCUGCCUCGGCCCACGGUCUGCUCUAUUCCCAGCUGGGAAAUAAUGAGCUGCAGAACAUGACAGCAAAACAGUCAAAUAUGUUUAGGAAUAGCGAAACUAUUAAAACUGCAUUUUAGAAAAAGUCAUCGUGUUGGCGAUCACAUCUUAACAAGAGAAUGCUUUGCGUCAGUCUUUGUGCUGCUCACAGGUGAGGCAAUUUGUUAUUCUAAGGCAGGUUUGCCUUUCAACAUGAACAGCGUGCAUAAAGCAAUGCAUAUUGCAUUUACAAACCGCUCCUUAAAGGAAAAGGAAUAAAUAAUUAAGAGAGUAUGACGAGCAGUUGAAUAGCUCACCCUCCACAGUCUUCUUAAUACAAGUGUAGGUAUCAUAAAACUGAUCUGUUUUCUCUAGAAACACACAUGUCAACAGUAAUUUACACUGUAUUACAUGGUGAUGUACUGUUUCUCAAAUUCCUUCUAUGCAUGUCUAUAUAUAUGUUAUAUAUAUAUCUAUAUCUUUGUACAGGUGAGAGAAUGUUUCCUUACACCAGCCCUUAGCAGCUCUUGACACCGCUACGGGUACAGGAGACCUCAGAGUGCUGCUCACACUGAGUAAUAUCACCCUUUCCCCUCUGCCCACCUAUCUCUGUGCCCCCAGCUCAGCCAGGUGAGCACAAUGGCACCAGAGCUUACCAAGUCUCAUUUUUCCAUCAAAGUAUUUCCUUUUCAGUGGGAGACAGCUGGAGAGCUGCUCCGUGCGUGGCUCUCACAGCAGUGUAACACAACAAAUAAUGUUGAAUCUGACUCGUCUGUGACAGCGCUAAGAAUAUUUAUUGACUGCGCUGGUAAAGAUAAAGUAGAGGAAGAAUUGAGAACACAAAAAACCACCAGCAGGCUGACUUUAAGGGCAGUUGGGGGCAUUCUGUUCCCAGCUGCAAUGGGAGGUACAGUCUGCACACCUGGGGCAAUGCCUGGCAGGGUUGGGCUGAGCUCGUGACCCGGCUCUGCUGUUCCGCCACAUCGCUGCCUUCAGCGAGCCCUUCUGCCUUUCUGGCUCACUUCUCUAUUUGUCAGGGGGAGGGAAGAGCGGUCACUGCAAACUUCAUUCCAAAUCUGAAAGCUGUGCCUCCUGAACCAAGUCCUGCUUCUGCCCCAAUGCUCUCCAGAGGGAGACCAACACAGAGGUCAGAAAGCAAAGAACUGUGCAGGCUGUACCCAGAAGCACUCAAGCCCGGCACCAUGUUGCCAGCACGUGCCUGUUCCCAUUGAUGGGAACCACUGGAACUACAAACCAAGGCUGUUUGAAGCUAAGCAUAUGUCCGUGUGCUCUGCUCGAUCAGGGCCUUUAUCAGUCUUCUGAAGAGGAGUGAAUACAGAAACACAAGUAAGAUCAAUUGCAGUCAGAUUUUCCUACCUCCCAAUAACAAUGGCAGGAUGAAAUCACACAUGUAUUGCAUUCACACCUGUAUUGGACUGACAAGAGAACGAGAAGCAUCUGGUGAAAGCUCAUUAUUGGCACCUGAACAGCAAUACACACUGUUAAUAAAGUCACGCGUGGUAAACAUGCAGAAUAAGGAGGCUGUACUUUUUACAGUCUUCCCUUCAGUACAAACACUGUCUUGUUUGCAGACAGAUCUGCGUAUUUGAUAAUGACUCCAGUAUUUAGCAGGGGCUAUUUUGGCCUAUUUGCUGGGAGCCUCUCACAGCUAAGUCUGGUUGAGCUCAUUUCAGAGAGCUUCCCUCAGUUCUGGGACCAUCUGUUACCCACCUCUUUUUUUUUCUUCCUUCUCCUUGAUUGGUUUCACACAGGCCCUUUAGUUCAUUUUAAAUUAGGAUUGUUUGGGGAAAAUUGUACUGCAAUCUUCAGUUGCCUUCUCCCUCCAGUAAUUAGAUGGAAAGUACCCCAUGAUAAAGAGUGCUGUUGAAUUUAGCAGGCUGAGAGAGAAAAGGCUGCGUUGGGGAUUUUCUCUGAAGGUAAGCCUAUAAAACCUGCAGAACGUGGUGAUGACUACCAGCCCUUAUGGCCAUCCUAGGUGACCUACAGUGUUUUUAAAUUAAACAGAACAGCUCAAAAUAUUGAGACUCGCUUUCUUUACCGACACUAUUGACCUUUUACGUAUAAAUGUGUAUGCAUUCAUACAUGCAUAUAUAUAUAUAAAUAGCCACACCUACCACUGACCUUUUAAAUAUGCACAUAAAAGAUACGUACAUAAAUAAACAUACAUUUUAUACACGUAUAUAACACGAAAAACAUCUGCUUUAUUUCCUUGGGGAUUUUCUCCUUCAUUUAAAAAUCUGCAGCUUCCAAGCCAUACAGGUCACGAGUGGGCUUGAGAAGUACAGGGGAAGCAAAGCGAUAUUAGAAAAUUUCUAGGAGCCUCUUGAGAAACACCUCCAGGCAGAUGACAGGUCUGUUUUGUUUCUGGAAAUUGUUUUUGUUGUUUUUACUUUUGCACUCUGAGCACAAGAGCCAGAGAAUGCUGGAGUGAAGAACUGCUACUGUGGGGAAGAUGUAGAAGUGUUGGUGCAGGAACAGAUGAGCAGGCUGAAGGAACCUUGCCUCUUGUCAUAACAGGGCUCUCUGAAAUCCCUGGGGCUUAAGCCACUGGCAUGCUACACUGAAGAAAAAAUUAAAGACGAAGAAAUAGACAACACCAGGGCGGCCUGAUGUAGUGGGUGGCAACCCUGCCUGUGGCAAGGGGGUUGGAACUCGAGAUUCCUUUCAACCUAAGCCAUUCUGAUUCUAUGACUGACAGGUGCAGAAGUGCUCUUCCUUUAAGCUGUCCAUUUUCAGAGCAAAAAAGCCCCCUCCCUGGCUGCAGGGAACAGGGGGAGCACAGCAGCCCUGCCCAUCCCGCAAUGGCUGCGGCCUGAGUUUGCCCACACACUAAUGGCUUAGCCUGGGGGGAGAUGCAGGGCUGUCCCGGCGAUGCAAAGAUGCCAGUCCUCCAGAAGCUGAGAAAAGAGUCAGCUAGUGUGCAACUGCUUCGUGACUGCGUGCGUGCAGCUAUGCACCGGGAGCCAAGCGUGACCUCUUCUACCACGGCCUGCAAGAGAGAGGAACGUGAAGAAAAGCUAGGCAAGGCAGGGGACAUUUUGUCUGAGGAAAGGGAGCGUCGCCGUGAGAGCACCGGGGCCUGCCGUUUGUUUUAUGCAGCUCCACCUGGUGUCAGGCUGCACAACGAGCACGACUCCCUGUCACAGCGCGCCGCACAGCUGCCCUCUCCUCCCUAAGCUUCAUCUCCUCGGCUGGGCCUGAGGGGGCACGCGUCGUGCUGCGCAGCACAGCCCGGAGGCAAAGAGACCUCUGUCCCUGUCCAGAGGGCUGGAGCGCCAGUACGCUGUGUCACUCUGGAGAUGACACAAAGCUGCUGCGUGCAGUUGGCUUUUUCUAAGAGAGGACGCAUUGGCAUUGAUUGUCACACCAAGUAUCUCUUCUGGAGCUCCCUGACUGCAUCUCCGCACACACACGAGAUGAGAAUAUCACCUCCUGCAGUGCGAGGGGUCCAUGCCAGGUGUGGGGAGGGAGGCCGGGCUGCAGGAGCAGCUCCACCUUCCCCAGAGGCAGCCACAGGCAUGUUCAGAGAGAGGCUUUCCAGCCACUGGUCCUGCUUAUCCUGUCUGUAAUCACGGCCAGAUCCAUUAAUACCCUACUGCCAGCACCAGGAAUAGAGCAGAGUAAUACCGGUGCCUGGCAGCCCUAUGGGAGGCUUGGCAACUCGCAGCCGUUCCCACAGCAGAUGCUGCCGGCCUGCCUGGACAGCAGCGUCCUGCAGACGAGAGGGGCUGCCUGGGCUGCAGGCACCGGUGAGGCUUUUUCUGUUAAGUCUUCAGCUCAAAUAAUAUGGUUGUGAGGCAGCUUAUGACUGUGGACCCUGGCUUACUUACUGACACACUCGUGCUUUGCUAACAGCUUCUGCUGAUGUGAAUGGAGAUGUUCUCUUAGGAUAGACCUUAUUAGUGCUUCUGUAUUGCGCCUGCUUUGGUGGGUGACAGAUAGAGACGAAGUGAGACACUUGGCUGCACAGAGCAUUGACAGACACAAAGAGCAGUACACGUGGGGUUCUGCCAGAGUGUCAGGGAAGAGGAAUAAACAACCACUGAAAGCAAACAGCCUCAUUCUUCACGCACACUUGCCGGGCAGAG